GACCAACAUUUAACUUGGAUGUAAAACACUCGACAGUCAGUAUUCGGCAUCAGUCAUGGAGGUUACAUCUGUCUGCAUUUUGAUGAAGAUGUUUGUCCGGCUGACUGAACAAACUGAACACAGCUAUACAGCUCAGAAUGCUGGUUGAAGCUGCAGUUUGUGGCGUAUGCAACCUCCAGAUUUGUCGAUCAGAACCUUUGAAAGACAGAUCGCCUCCAGAACCAAAUAGAAUCUACGGUAGUCCCUAGCAAGCUGCUUUGACUGCUCAGCUCUGUUGGGCUGCUUGCUCUCUACCAGUUACUUCCUCCCUCUGGAUUACUGUUCCACUCCGCUUUUACAUCAGCAGAAAUUCCCCCCGUGACACACACCCUCUUCAAGACAUCACCAUUACUAUUCCACCUCCAGGAUCACCAGGGCCCCCCAACACCUUCCCCGUCCUUCCACACGGAUCAAACUGCUUCUUCUCUGGAAAACGAACACAUGAUUCUCAACAAGCCAAAACAG